UUGACCUCGGAUCAGGUAGGAAUACCCGAGGAAGCUAAUCAGAG
rnacentral:rRNA from 1 species